GGGCGACCUUCCGGUAGAGUUUCUGCAGUAGAGGAUGAAGAUAAAAUGCAAAGUAAAAAUUUGGCCAAAAGUGAUCCUAUAUAUAUAGGAUCCAUCAACGGUCAGGAUGGAAGCAAUCAAAUCGAAGUCUCAUCAGAUGACAACACGUGGCAACAUCCGGACCGACCAUUGGUCGGACGGUUCGACACAUCUGCUCCUGAUCGUGCCACCUCACCGUCAUCCGCAUGAACAGCUCCGAUCCAAUGAUAUUCAGAUACGUAGC
rnacentral:lncRNA from 1 species